rnacentral:lncRNA from 1 species
ACAGCUCUAUUUGGUGUUGAUCUUUUUUCUCUAGGAACAAUCACUCUGUAAAUCUGAACGAAGUCUGAAUUGUGAUUAACUCUUUAAUCUUUUUUUUGAUCUUUUUCUUCUCUUCUGCUCUUAUUCUUCUUCUAUUGAUUAUGUAGCAACCAAGAUAUGAAAAUCAGCAAGCAAGAGGGGAGACGGCCAAACUACUUUGGGCAUGGAGAUGGAGGAUGCCCAACCUUUGGGUGUUGGAACUAAAAAGGAGA